rnacentral:rRNA from 1 species
UACGAUGGGGGCUAGCGUUGUUCGGAAUUACUGGGCGUAAAGCGUACGUAGGCGGCCAUUCAAGUCAGAGGUGAAAGCCCGGGGCUCAACUCCGGAACUGCCUUUGAAACUAGGUGGCUUGAACACGGGAGAGGUGAGUGGAAUUCCGAGUGUAGAGGUGAAAUUCGUAGAUAUUCGGAAGAACACCAGUGGCGAAGGCGGCUCACUGGACCGUUGUUGACGCUGAGGUACGAAAGCGUGGGGAGCAAACAGG